rnacentral:rRNA from 1 species
CCUACGGGUGGCAGCAGUGAGGAAUAUUGGUCAAUGGGCGCGAGCCUGAACCAGCCAAGUCGCGUGAGGGAAGACGGUCCUAUGGAUUGUAAACCUCUUUUGUCGGGGAGCAAAAGACGCCACGCGUGGCGUUCCGAGAGUACCCGAAGAAAAAGCAUCGGCUAACUCCGUGCCAGCAGCCGCGGUAAUACGGAGGAUGCGAGCGUUAUCCGGAUUUAUUGGGUUUAAAGGGUGCGCAGGCGGAAGAUCAAGUCAGUGGUAAAAUUGAGAGGCUCAACCUCUUCGAGCCGUUGAAACUGGUUUGCUUGAGUGAGCGAGAAGUAUGCGGAAUGCGUGGUGUAGCGGUGAAAUGCAUAGAUAUCACGCAGAACUCCGAUUGCGAAGGCAGCAUACCGGCGCUCAACUGACGCUCAUGCACGAAAGUGUGGGUAUCGAACAGGAUUAGAUACCCUUGUAGUC